GACGUAGGGCGCGAGCGUUGUCCGGAUUUAUUGGGCGUAAAGAGCUCGUAGGCGGCUUGUCGCGUCGAAUGUGAAAACUCGGGGCUCAACUCCGAGCUUGCAUUCGAUACGGGCAGGCUAGAGUUCGGUAGGGGAGACUGGAAUUCCUGGUGUAGCGGUGAAAUGCGCAGAUAUCAGGAGGAACACCAAUGGCGAAGGCAGCACUCUGGGACGUGACUGACGCUGAGACGCGAAAGCGUGGGGAGCAAACAGG
rnacentral:rRNA from 1 species